rnacentral:rRNA from 1 species
UACGUAGGGUGCGAGCGUUGUCCGGAAUUAUUGGGCGUAAAGAGCUUGUAGGUGGCUCGUUGCGUCGGGAGUGAAAACCUGCGGCUUAACCGCAGGCCUGCUUCCGAUACGGGCGAGCUAGAGUUCGGCAGGGGAGACUGGAAUUUACGGUGUAGCAGUGAAAUGCGUAGAGAUCGUAAGGAAGACCAGUGGCGAAGGCGGGUCUCUGGACAGUUCCUGACACUGAGGCACGAAGGCCAGGGGAGCAAACGGG